GUUAUCCAUCAUAUGGAUCAUCUGGAUAUGGUGCAUCUAGUAAUUGGUACGGUCCUGGUGGUAAUGGCGCUGGUUCUGGUGGCUAUGGUAGUUAUGGUGGUGCCAAUCCUGGGUAUGGUGGUCCUGCUGGGGCCUCAUAUGGAAACCCUAAUGUCCCAAAUACUGGUUAUGGUUCUUAUGGUAGUGGUCCAGCAGGUGCUUCAAGGAAUGCAUAUGGUGCCCAUGCAUCUUCUGGAUAUGGUAAUACUCAGUGGGGUGCUUCGGGUGGCUCUAACGGUGGUCCUGGUGGUGCACCUGUUUCUGUGCCCACAGGUCAAUCUCCUAGUGGAGCUGCUGCCUAUGGGAACCAAGGUUAUGGCUAUGGUGGAUAUGGUGGACCGGAUGGGUCAUAUGGAAAUCCAGCUGCAUAUGGUGCUGUUGGGGGUCGGCCUGGUGGUGCCCCAAAUAGUUCAUCUGCUGGUGGUGAAGUACAAUCUGGCAGUGGAGGAUACAUGGGUGGUAAUUAUGGGGAUCCAACAGGGAAUUCAGGAUACGGAAACCAAGGAUGGAGAUCUGACCCCUCGCAAGGUUCUGGUAGUUAUGGGGCACCUAGUGGCGGACAAGUUGGAUAUGGCGGUGGUUAUGGCGCACCACAACAGUAAUUUUGAUAUCGUGAGUCUGGUUCUGAAAAAGCCACACAGUUGAUGUUCUAAAGGGCUGUUGCAGCAAAC
rnacentral:lncRNA from 1 species